CUAAACAGGAUGUAUAAGAAGAAGCAGCCACUGGGUGUGUCUUAGCUAUAAGAAAUUCAUAAGGCUAAAUAUGGCUUUCAACUGACUUAAAGCCCAAUAUAAGAAGCUACCAUAUCUAGUUUGGCAGGCCCCUCAUCAUGCAGUAAUUACCUCCCUUUUAGUAACACACUGACGGAAAGCACAAUGCCACUCUCGCUACAGCCAGUGGCAAAACUCCUGUUGAGUUCAGCAGGAGCUGCAGCAGUGAAUGCUAGCAUCCUCCAGGCCAGUCCAAGAAGGAAGAGGGAGCUUUCUCCAGCUGGAACUGAAGCCUGGUAGAACUGAAAGUGCAGACUUCUGCUGCACCUGAGCACAAAGGAAGGUGGACCUGCCUUCAUAUAUCUGCUGCUUUGCAGCUGGUCUAUGGGAAAGUUUAGAAGAGCAUGGUUUAAUUCCUGUGUGCUCCCAGCCGGGCCAGCAAUCAUAAUGUGAGCUGAAACAAAAUCUCUCAGCUCAUUGUGCCAGAGACAUUGAGACUGGCAGCACUACAGUGUGUGGCUGUGUGGAUGGCUAUGAGGGCACAAUAAGCGCUCUUGCCCUGACUUCCUUCGGCUCUGAUGAGCACUCCACUCGCUGCUUGGCAGAGAAGAGGAAGAGCACAACAACUGCUGUGUCGUGUGCCCAUUCCCUCCACCUCCACCUCCCACUGAAGGAGGGGAAUGCACAUACCUCAUGUCCCUGGGUGUCCAGGCAGGGCUGUGCCAUCUUUUGCUGGGAUAUCGGACCUGAAAAAGGACACCAGAGCACCUUAUCCCUGCGGCGGGAAUGUCACCUCCUACAUCUGACAGUGAAAGGAUGCUACAAUAGUGGAUUUUUUCUUCCUCUUAUCUUUUGUUUUAAACAAUGUCAUAACUGA
rnacentral:lncRNA from 1 species